rnacentral:rRNA from 1 species
GAUGAACGCUGGCGGCAUGCCUAAUACAUGCAAGUCGAACGAAAGGCUUCGGCCUUUAGUGGCGAACGGGUGAGUAACACGUAGAUAACCUGCCCUCAAGACUGGGAUAACCGAUGGAAACUUGUACUAAUACCGCAUGAGACCACAGCAUCGCAUGGUGCAGGGGUCAAAGAUUAAUCGCUGAGAGAUGGUCUCGCGUCUGAUUAGCUAGAUGGCGGGGUAACGGCCCACCAUGGCGACGAUCAGUAGCCGGUCUGAGAGGAUGAACGGCCACAUUGGGACUGAGAUACGGCCCAGACUCCUACGGGAGGCAGCAGUGGGGAAUAUUGGGCAAUGGGGGAAACCCUGACCCAGCAACGCCGCGUGAAGGAAGAAGGCCUUCGGGUUGUAAACUUCUUUUAGCAGGGACGAAGGACGUGACGGUACCUGCAGAAAAAGCAACGGCUAACUACGUG